GCCAUGAUUGCGGGCAGCGGGACGCGCGCGCACGCUCGGGCCCGGCUCUGGGACCCCUGGCUGACCGACGGUCCCUGCAGUCCCCGCAACCUGGUGCCCGCAGCCCCGAGCGCGCCGCGGACAGCGGUCAGGCUCUCCAGGCUCGUCCCCGCGGGGAACAGUGUGCGCUGCGGAGCUCUCGACGCGGCCCCGGGACAGCGCUCGGGGCCGACGGUGGCAGCGGGCUUCCCCCAGGGCGGAGCGCGCGCACGGGCAACCCCGCGGCGGCUUCCAGGACACCGCCGGCCCCGCGGAGCAAGGGGUGCCCAGAGGGGUGGGAGUCCGGACUCGGCACACGGGAGCCGGCCGGCGGAGGCAGGGGUCAGCGCACAGUGCCGGGAGAUAUCCGCCUAAUGGGAAUGGAGCCGGCAAUUUCCUGCUGCCUUGCUUUCUCCGCCAGCCCCUGGCCCACAGUCCAGCCUCAGAAGGCUGAGGGGGGUGCUUCGGUUUCGUUUCUUUUUUCUCAACGGGUCGACAUUUUAAAUUUCUCAGUAUCCAAGGCAUUAUGAGGACUUAGGAAACAGAUGCAUUUAAUCUAAUUAAAGCAAGGACGGCGAGUGAGUGAAAAAUUACAUUUUCACUUGGGUUCUGAACAUUCAGUUGCACAUCCAAGAAUAAUGAUGUUUUUAAAGCCAGCCCAAUAAACUUGAGAUUGCAAGUUUUCAGUGGCUCCUGGAUAAGAUGCCACUUCGAUCAUCCUAGACAAUGUGCCUUUUGAGGAGCUGCUCAGCAGCUUUGGGGACUCUGGAUAAAGGCAAACCAGGCUUAUGAUUUUUUUUCUUUUGCCUUUGUUUCAAAGUAGUUUGCAGGUUUGAGAGUCCAUUUUCAUAGGCCUGUUUCAUGACAACAUACGCUCCUACCGCAUGAUGGGUUUAUUUUCACUCUCAGUUAUUUAUACGCAACCUCUAAGCAUCAAUCCACCUUGGACGAACAUACGCGUUUAUAAUUUUCAUAGAAAUAAAACAGCAAAAGAUAAUUCAAAGUCAAUAGGGUCUCAGGCUGGGCAAGGAAAUGUGGGCAGGCACCCGUGAAAAGGGUUCUUUCCUUCUGACAUGAUGAAGCAUUUUUCAAAAUCUUUUGCUUUAUUUCACUGUUUUUUGUCAAACUUGGCAUUUGUUUACCAGCAACAAUAAUGAAACUCUGACCGGGGAACAAGCCUGUUUGAGGACAAAAGCGUACACCGGACACUGCACUAGCACACCCCACCCAAAACAGCAAACAAAAAAAGCCCAGCGUGCUGGCACCAUUUUUCCUAUCUUCUUUCCUUUCUGUUUCAAUGUAAAGAACAUACUUAAGUGUGCCUGCCUCUAUGAGUGAUGCACAUCGUGCUUUCAUGGUGCCAGCUCCACACGCGUGCAAUCACAUGUCUGGUUCUAAACCUGUGUAAGCAGCGCUUUGUCACCUUUAACAUGCUUUGGAAGUCUACACAUUCAUGUUUCAUGUUGCGGUGCCUGCGUAUGUAUCUCAAAAAGAAGUCUAACAACCCCGAAAGCAUUCUUAAGGGGUUAAUUAUUACUUUUCAAUCAAAAGGAGCGCAUAAAACAACUAGAAGUCUACGACAGGCGUGUGUUCAAUCAUAUAUGAAUAUAUUGUACAUAAUAUUAAUAAACAACAUGCUAGUAUGAAAAAUUUCCCCUUAGGAAUGAGGAAUUACGAUUAAUGUUUUCCAUUCCAAAGUAGUAACAACACAAAUCUGAAAAUAUGUAUUAAGGAUGACGGGCCAAUAUCUCUGGUUAUAUAUGCAUCUAUCAAAUGCCAAAGCUAGAUUUCUGACUUUAAAUGAGGAAUGAGAAAGGGCACCAAACUAAAUUUUUAAAAAACAAAAAUUACCAUUCCAGAAGUGGGUGCUGAAUUAAUUUUAGUCAAUCACUUCUACAAUUUCUUAAAUGGAAUAAUCAGAAAUGGGGAAAUUAACAUUUUUCUAAAAAGUUUAUGUGCUACUUAUAAUAUUUUAUUGUACAGGUCUUCAGCGGGCUAGGUAAAUUCCUCUAGAAUAAAUAAAAAAAAGAAAGGAGAAAAAACUGAUUUUGAACUCAAAUGGUUUGUUGUUAAGUUGCAAGGGACUGCAGGAACUUUUUACUAAAAUCAAGAUUUCACAGAUUACUUCUUUAAAAUUACUACAACAAACUUAAGCUGCCCACAAAUGGAACUCAUACUGAAAUUGGGAUUUGGUUUUGGGGGAUUGUCAAUUACAAGUUGUUUGGCAUUUGACCACACUGGUCUUAUUUAUUGAGAGACUCCCAUUUUAUUUUUAAAAAAUCAAAUGUGACUUCACACAACACAGGUGACUAAUUUAUAUAUAAAACCAGUUUCAUUUUCCUGACUAUGUCCCAGUAUCCUAGCUUUUAGACCUGGUUAACUUCAAGGUUAAGGUCAGAUUUUUCAUAGGCACCCUUUCUACAGAAAUACAAGAAGUGUUUGAACUGAACUUAUCACUACAAGACAAUAUUUAGUUGCUGUCCAAAAAAUGCUAAAGAAGAAAACCGAUGCUUUUUUGUUUCUUGCUAUUUUAUAGGCAACUUUUGGUAUAAUUCCUAAUUUCAAAAGAACAUGAAGUUCAUUUUUUUAACUCCCCAAAAAAGUGGUACUGUAAGCAACCAGACAAGAAGGGACACUGACCUUGAAAAUGAAAGUCUACAUAAUAUUUACAUGAUAAACAUAUUUUUAAAAUCGAUUUCAAAGUAAUCAGAGACGUGGAUAGGUAUUUUCACUAUUUUCACUCCUUUUUCGCUUGGUUUUCAAUGAUGCACAGAGGCAGGGGUUUUUGAAUAUCAUCAAAGGUUUGUACCUUUGCUAAUAAUAUCUUAUCCGUCAGUUUUUCAAGUCUGCAUUCUAAAUAUACUGCAAGAUGCUGCCCGUUGACUUUCUGUCUGAGAGGAGGCAGCGGACUCAGAACCGCACGCUCCUUCCCUCACUCUCCCGACUUCUCCAAAACUGGAAGUCUCUCACACGUAGAAUGCCAGAAAUUUAUAGAAGGACUCCAAGGCUCCCUGAGAAACUUCUCGAGUUGGGAAAAACCUUGUCAACGCACACCUGGACCUACAGAUUCGGAAAAAGUAACCGGCUGUAGCCAAAAACCAAACACUCAACCACCCGAACACAGUCUGCAAGAAACACAGAGUUCUUUGACGUGACAAGAAGAAUUAUAAAUAAAAUAGCUCCAAGGCAGACAGGCUGAAUGAGCCUUUUAAGACAGCCUGUUGGUGCCUCAAACUUUAAUACUUAGAAUAUCAAAUGUUAGCUCCACGAGGAUAGCAUCCUGGGAUACGUGUGUGUGUGUACGCAUAUGUAUACGUGUGCAUAAGUGUGUAUAUGUAGGUUUGUGUGUAGCGAUAAAUGUUUUGUUGCCUUUAUGGCCUGGGGGCUGAUUGAGGGCCUGGUGGAACGCCCCUAGCCCAGAGGAAGGAGCAGGCCCUACCUGCGUUCUCCCUGGGUUACUCCCUACUUCAUUACACGUAGGCAAACACCAAAAGCCAGGGAAAGCAUAACUGCUGUAGAUAACAAGGGCAGAUCUCAGAUAGAGAAAAGCUUUCUCUGCAAUAAAGAAUUAUUUUGUGAAUGGUAA
rnacentral:lncRNA from 1 species